GCCUGGCUGGCUUAGUCAACAGAGCAUGUGACUCUUGAUCUCAGGGUUGUGAGUUCAAGUCCCCACACUGGGCA
rnacentral:tRNA from 1 species